GACGAACGCUGGCGGCGUGCUUAACACAUGCAAGUCGAACGGCAAGGCCCUGCUUUUGUGGGUUGCUCGAGUGGCGAACGGGUGAGUAACACGUGAGUAACUUGCCCACCACUUUGGUACAACUUCAUGACACUGGGGCUAAUAGCGGAUUGGAGGCCGUGCUGCAUGGUGGGGGUUGGGAAGUUUAGGCGGUUGGGGAUGGACUCGCGGCUUAUCAGUUUGUUGGUGGGGUAGUCGAUUACCAGGGCUUUGACGGGUAGCCGGCCUGAGAGGGGAACCGGCAACAUUGGGACAGAGAUACGGGCCGGACUCCUACGGGAGACAGGAGUGGGGGAUGUAGCCCGAUGGACCGAAGUAGGGUGCAGCAAGGCGGCGUGCGGGAUGACGGCCUUCGGGUAGUAAACCACUUUCGCCUGUGACGAAGCGUGAGUGACGGUAAUGGGUGAAGAAGCACCGGCUAACUACGUG
rnacentral:rRNA from 1 species